UCCACAUCCUCUCAGAAGCCAUCAAGCCUCCCAAAGCCUCCAAGUUACAAACCACCUCCUGACAUCACAGCUCACUCACCUGAGGAAGAUGAGCCAUCCCUGCCAAAUCUUUCUGCUAAUAAUACUUUUCAUGAUUUCCAGCAUCUCAUCGAGCAAUCUGAGCAGCGGAUGCUCCUCGCAAUAGAGAGAAUGUCGACAGAUAUUUCUAAUUCUAUUGAGCGUCUGAUCCAGGCUAUUCAACAGAAUCGUCCUGGUCCGGCAACCAUCACAACACCACCACAGGAGACCAUUGAGAGGCCCUGCAAAACAUUGCAGGAGCUGCAAGCUUUCAUAUUAAAACUUGAGGACCCAGAAGGGAAAAAAAGGAUGGU